rnacentral:rRNA from 1 species
AUGACAACCCAGACGUUCUCCGGUCCCUGGAGAAGGAGAACCGAACUAUGCUCAAGGAUCGAAAGGGUGGGUGCUCCGGGCUCAGCUGGGACCUGGGAGGAGUACAAGUCAUUGACAUUCACUAAUCAGGUGACCAAUGAGAUUAUUCGAAUAAGCAAUGCCGUAGUUGGAGUAUUUAGGAAAACUCUUACGGAUGUACAAGUCAACGGCUAUACAAUUCCAGCCGGAUGGCAGGUCAUAGUCAACCCCAUGGCAGUUCAUUUGAACGAAGAAUUGUUCGAAGAUCCACUCAAAUUUAACCCAUGGAGGUGGAUGGAUGAGUCAAAGCGCAGUGCAAUGCUGAAGAAUUUCUUGCCAUUUGGGGCAGGAAUCAGGGUUUGUCCUGCGGCAGAUUUUGUCAAGCUGUUUGUAACACUUACCCUCCAUAUUUUGGUGACGGAGUAUAGAUGGGAAGAAAUGAAAGGAACUGACGAAUUCCGAAGCGCGGAUGUUAUGUUCCCGCAGGGCUAUCACAUUCGACUUAGCCCAAGGACGAUCAAAUGA